rnacentral:lncRNA from 1 species
GGCUUCGCCACAGCACUGCUCUUCGACUUGGCUGGAGCAGCUUUGGGUUUAGGAGCAGCUUUGGGCUUGGGAGUCGCCUUAGGCUUCGGCUUUGCAGCAGCCUUCGGCUUCGCAGGAGAUUUUGCAACAGCUUUGGGCUUAGCUACGGGUUUAGACUUCGGCUUAGCAGCUACAGGCUUCUUCUUCGCAGGAGAAGCAGGUUUCACAACUGCCGACUUCGCCGGUUUAAGCUUGAACGAACUCUUAACCUUCACCAACUUCCCGGAAGUCACAAGUUUCUUCAAAUGGAAUAACAAAAGCUUCUUAAAGUUCGGUGGAAGUUGC